UACGAGAGGGCCGCUACCACGCGAGUGGAUGCCAAUCCCUAAAACCCUCUCAGUUCGGACUGGAGUCUGCAACCCGACUCCACGAAGCUGGAUUCGCUAGUAAUCGCGCAUCAGCCACGGCGCGGUGAAUACGUUCCCGGGCCUUGUACACACCGCCCGUCAAGCCAUGGGAGCCGGGGGUACCUGAAGUGCGUAACCGCGAGGAUCGCCCUAGGGUAAAACUGGUGACUGGGGCUAAGUCGUAACAAGGUACC
rnacentral:rRNA from 1 species